rnacentral:tRNA from 1 species
CCGGCGGUGGCUGAUCGGUUGAAGCGACGCUCUGUAAAAGCGUUUUAGGCAGGUUCGACUCCUGCCCGCCGGA